rnacentral:lncRNA from 1 species
AUUUAUCCAAAAAGUGCUGCAAAUCCCAUCUUCCAUGACUGAUUGCUGAGAUUAUACCCUCCAUCGACAGGCACGUUAACACCACUGAUAAAUUUAGCCUCAUCGCUUGCCAAAUACAGUGCUGCAUGUGCAAAAUCUUCAGGUUCCAAUACGGUGCCUUUCAACACAGCUGAAGCCGCAAUCAUCUCCUCUCCCUUCUUCUUAUCGAGCAACCCCAGUGUUGUUUGGAACAAUGGGGUCACAGUUGCGUGAGGUGAAAUGCAAUUAACUCUAAUUCCAUGCUCACCUAACUCCACGGCCAAGCUCUUCGUCAACCCUACGACGCCAUGCUUCGAUGCCUUGUAUGCAUGGGGCAGACCGAUGCUGAUUUUUGAAGAAAUACUCGACGAGAAGAGAAUGCAACCUUUCUUGGCCGGAACCAUGACCUUGGCUGCAUACUUGGCUCCCAAGAAUCCACCCAAGACAUUGAUAUCGAACACUCUCUUGAAGUUGUCAGUGCUGGCGUCUGUCACUCUGACUUCACCAUCACCAAUAAGGCCUGCAUUGUUGAACAUGAUAUCGAGUUUUCCAUACUUGGAGACCGCUAAGUUUACGGCAUUUUCGACAUCAGAUUCGCAUGUUACAUCACAAUGGACAUAGCUGAAGUUUUCAGUUCCAAGCUCUUUGCAAAGGGAGUGGCCCAAUUCGUCUUGAAUAUCAGCAAUCAGAACCUUGGCUCCAUGUUUGAGAAAUACCCUGGCUGAACACUCUCCUAAACCACUGGCACCACCAGUUAUCAGUGCCACCUUACCAUCUAGCCUGUAUCAAACAAAGUAGAAAAAAAGUUUAUAUACUAAAAUUCAGAACCAAACCUAUAAGAUAUCAUAUGUUAAGGGACUAAUUACAUGAACUCAAUUAAACUUGAAUCCUCCUUAUCAACAUUGACAGGAUGUAAAAUCAACUCGACUAGCGGAAUUGAAAUAUCUAAAUCCAAUAUAGUGAAAUAAGAAUUUAUGGAAUGCAAGGAUUUAGUUACCUCUUGGUUACUAAAGACUCGGAACCCAUUGUAGUUUGUGAAGAAAAUAGACCCUCGCCUUUGCUUUUUCUUUUGAUUGCAAUGCUUGGGAUGCUGUGGUUUCACGUCCUGUUAUUCUGCUCUUUAUAACUUCAGGGAUUGUUCUGAAAGAUCAAAAAUGGCGUCGUCCACGUUUGUAUGCUUUCAUUUUAAAAAUAAUAUAUUUACUAUAAACAAUAAUAUUGCGUCCAAAAAUUGAACUCCUCCACGUUUACUACUUUCUAGUCUACUGGAAAAAAUAUUUUUCCAUUAUUUUUGCUUUGACUUAGAAUAUGUCGGGACUUGUCAGUAUGGGCGUAACAUUUUAUAAUAUAUUUUACUACAUGUGUGUAGAAUUUAAAAUAUUUCAUUGUAUUUUUAUUUUUAGAAUUUUAAUUUAUUUACUUUUUCAAAAUUUAAAGUUUAGAAUCAAUCGUUAACAGUGUUAAUUUUUUUGUUAAAUUUAAGUUUAUUAGAACGUAAUUAUUUUUACUUGAUUGAAGAGAAGAGGUUGAAAGCUAUCCGUCAUGGUCAGAUGUAUCUAAAACGAAUGAUGCGAGCUUAUGACAAAAAGGUUCGCUCUAGAGAAUUCCAUGAGGGGGACCUGGUAUUGAAAAAGAUCCUUCCCAUACAAAAGAACUUCAGAGGAAAGUGGAUGCAAAGCUGGGAAAGACCUUAUGUGGUAAAGAAGGCGUUUUCUGGAGGAGUGUUGAUUUUGACCAAGAUGGAUGGCAAAAACCUGCCUGACCCUGUGAAUUCGGAUUCAGUCAAGAAAUACUUCACCUAAAAAAAAAGGGAGAGGCCAAGGCGAAAACUCGCAACAGGGCGUAUUGUGAGACCAAAGGGAUUUUGAGUUGAAAACCUAGGAAAUGGCAACUCAAAUUUAAAUCGAAGAUUGAACAUGUGGUAGUCGCAUCCUCUCAGAAGAAGAAACGUUACAUCUUGAGGCAUCAACAAAGUACUCUAGAUUUUCUAAACACAUAUCAAGCUCAAAAUGGUACUCGAGAAGUUUGUGCGGAGAAGCUUAUGCUAUGAUAUGUCGGGCACCUAUUUUCAUUUUACUCAUUUUGUAUUUCAGCAACGUUUGCUAUUUUGAUUUAUCUAUUCAUUUCGAGCAUUGCUCCCAAUAAAUUUCGAUCUUGUCCAUUGUUACAACAUUUUUCAAGCAUUUUUACAUUGAAAUAACAAUUAAUGGACUAAAAAUGUUCAAGUAAAAGGAUUUCUUCCUAUUGCUCUAAAAGGUUUUCUAAAUAGUGUAAGGACCUGAAACAUGACCAAUAGUCAAAACUAACCAAAUCUAAGGGUUGGAAAUAUUUGAGAACGAAUAGUUUGAAUUGUGUUUAUUUCUUCGAAUUUCCUGUCAAAGAUGCCAAAUUUGAACAAGAAAGCAGGGUAACACGUCAGUGAUAGAACCUUGACGAACAACGACCCAUGUCAACUUAAGCAUUAAAAAGGGAAUCAUGACAUUCUGCAUGCACGCAAAUAUCAUUCAUAUACAUCUAGUUAGGAGCAUUUGAUUCAUUCUGGUCAUAACAUCCUAAUCGCUUGGCAUAAAAAGGCUCAUGAAAUGGAUUCUACAGGUCAUGUUUCCCAAAGAACAGUGUAACAGAUCAGUGAAACCACAAAUCCUAUACCCCUAAAGUUGCAGUGGGUCAGAUUGAAAUCACCACAAUAAAUCUUAUCUCCCUAAAGUUGCAGUGGAGCAGAUCUAAGCUACAAAUCCUGCACCCCUGAAAUUGCAGUGGGUGGGAUCUACCAUAGUGAAUCUUAUCUCCCAGAAGUUGCAGUGGAGCAGAUUGAAGCUAAAAAUCCUAUACCCCUAAAGUUGCAGUAGGUCAGAUUAGAUCUACCAUAGUGAAUCUUAUCUCCCUGAAGUUGCAGUGGGUCAGAUUGAAUCUACCAUAGCGAAUCUUAUCUCUCUGAAGUUGCAGUGGAGCAAGAUGAAGCUACAAAUUCCAUACCCCUAAAGUUGCAGUGGAUUGAUUAAAACUACAGUGGCAAAUCUUAUCUCCCUAAAGUUGCAAUGGAGAAGAUGAAGCUACAAUUCCUAUAUCCCUAAAGUUGUAGGGUCGGAUUAAAUCUACCAUAUAAAGCAGAUUAAAGUUACAAACCUUAUCUCUCUAGAGUUGCAGUGGGUCGAAUUAAAUCUACCAUAGCGAGUCUGAUUUCCCUGAAGUUGCAGUGGAGCAGAUUAAAGCUACGAAUCUCAUCUCCCUGAAGUUGCAGCGGAGUAGAUUGAAAUUACCCUUGAAGUUGUAGUGGGCUAAAAUGAAGCUACUUGAAAAAGAGGAGCACCAAAGAAGUCUUUUCUCUAUUCCCGUUACACGACAACGAGCAAAAAGGGGCAGCUGUAAAGGCCCAAUUUUGUCCGACCCGAAACCAAAAAUAAAUAAACAAAAAAAUAAAAACCAAAAAAUAAAUAGUAAAACCCAAGUCCAUUUACAAAAUAUGCUAGUCCAUUUACAAGUCCCGAAAGCCUAAACAAUAAACCCUAAGGCCCAGUGGCCCAAUAGCCUAAACAUUUUUUCAGUAAAACAGAAACCUUAGUGCCCCCUGUGCUGCUGCCCUUGGCCACGUCAGCAUGCUCGCGCCCCAAAGCCUGACGCCUCAUCUGCCGCCCUUGCACCAAAACGGCGAAGGCAAGGGUCUUGCCCUGUUAUUGACCCUCCACUGCCACCUACAAAGAGAAAGCAAAAAGGACAACGUAGGAACAACAAAGAAACAACAACAAAAAAUAGUGGAAACCGCAAAAGCAACAGGGAAAAUGCAAAAAAAUAAUAUGUAACAUAUGGCUAUAAAUGCCAUAACCACUUACAAAAAAAAAUAGAGAUUUUGAAAUAGAAAUCAUAUACAAAUAUUAAAAUGUGAUUAACUCUCUUUUUUACUUUUCCUUUUUAAGUAAUAAAUAAAAAUAAAAACUAUCACCUGUCGUUUGGUCUUCGCGCCACCGUCGGUGUCUCCUUCGGUAUGAGAGGCCGUCGAAUCCUUGGAGAUUCGGCCAAGGCCGCGACAGAGAACAUCGGGAACCGAAAGGUGUUCUUCCUUUUUUGGGAGCUUCGGCUUUAGUUUGGUAUUUUCGACUCCAAAUUGGAGUUCUACACAUAAGAUGGGUUAAAAUGGGUUUUUUAGGCAAUUUUUCGGCCACGAUGGAGGUCCGUUGUUCCUAUGGCCGGACUUGGAGGCCUCUUUCAAAGGAAAAAAAAAUGGUUUUCAAAGUUUAAAAAAAAAACGAUAAGCAGGAUGAAUUUUUUUUAAAAAUUUUGGUUUAUAUAGGCUGGGUUAAACGACGCCGUUUUGACCUGUGUUUGUAAGUCCCAAAACGACAUCGUUUUGAAGUCGACCCGCGAACCCAACCCAACCCUAUCAAGAUCUGCGUGUUUUUUUAAAAGGGGUCUACUUGCUGCUUUGGUCCUUCCACCUUUUUACUACUCUUCAAUUUAGUCCUACUAUUUAUUAUUUUGUUAUUUUCGCCCCUUUUGUUUUGUUUUUUGUGCAAUUUAGUCCUUGGACCACUGUGGACCUAUUUAGGGGAUGACACGUGUCCCAUGGCUUGGAAUAAUUUCUCAUUUAGUCCAUGUUUCAUUUCGCGCAUCUCAUUUUGGUCUUUUAUUUUGUUUAUUUUUUAUUAUUUACAAUUUAUACCCCUAAUUUCAUUUAAAUUUCAAUUAAAUCCUCUGCUUAUUUCAUUUCAACCUUUCUACAAACUGUUAUUUAUUUAUUUAUUACUUCUUAUUUUUUUACACUUAAAAAUUAGAUUGUUUAUACUCUUUUAUUUGUGCAUUUUUUAUUCAUUUAUUAUUAUUGUCGUUAUUAUUUUUAUUUUUAUUAUUAUUAUUUUUCUUGUUAUUUUAUUAUUUCUUUUAUUAUUUUUGGUACUUUCAUGUCAUGUUUAUUUAUCUUUUUAAUCAUGCAUUUUCCAUUUUUAUUUUUAUUUUAAGUUACCUUAUUUAUUUUAGUAUUAUGUUCUUAUUAUUAUUAUUAUUAUUAUUAUUAUUAUUAUUAUUAUUAUUAUUAUUAUUAUUAAAUUAGUAUUAUUAUAGUAUUCUUUUAUUUAUUUAUUAUAUAUCAUUCUAAUAUUCUACCUAUAAAGCCAUUUUAUAUUAUUCCAUUAUCGCUAUAUUAUACAUUAUGUUUAAAUAUAAUUGUCCAUUUUUAUAUUAUAUCCAAAAGAUAAAUACACAUUAUUUUAAAUGUUACAUUUGUUAUUACUCAAUGAAGAAAAUUUUAAAAUUAAGGCAAUAUCCCGUAUUUGGAGAUUCGAGAAGUCAUGCCCUAACUUACGGGGUUCAACUUUCUCCUUGAACCUAGAUAACUGAACAUCCCUUUUAAAAUUAAAACACAUGAGAUUUAAUUAAUAAUCGAAUAAUGAGCAAACUUGACUUUGAGGAUUUGAGAUGUUGUGUCCUAACUUAUGGGACGUGACCUUUUUGUUUACCUCGAGAUAAGAAGGCCUUUUACAUAUGUUUUAACUUACUUAAGUGAUUUUAAGUUAAAAUAUCAUUAUACAAGGUGGGAUCGUGUUUUAAAUUCUCUUCAAAUUUUCAAUUUUCAAUUUUCGACAUUAAGACAUCGAAUAAUCAAUUAGGUACCAAUUUUGGGCGUCAUGAGGGUGCUAAUCUUUCCUCGUGCGUAACCGACUCCCGAACUCAUUUCUUAGAUUUUGUAGAUUGAAAAUUGUUUUAAUAAAUCAAACAUUUUAUUAAAAUUACGAGGUGAUCCGAUCACACCUCAUGAAAGUGAUUUGUGACGAUGCCAUUUUCGUUUUUUAAAAUAAAAAAUCGAUUUCAAAAGGGUUUCCACAAUUAACACAAUUAGAAACCAACCCAACCCCCUUAAUAGAAAUUACCUCUUGAUUACUGAAUAUUCGGAACUCAUAGUAGGUGACAAGAAAAUAAACCCUCGCUUUUGAUUGGAAUGCUUGGGAUGGUGUGUUUCAAUUGGAUGUUAUUAUGGUCUUUUAUAGCUUCAGGGAGGGUAACAAUGUUCCAAAAAAUCAACAAUGGCAUCCUCCUAGUUUGUACACCUUCAUUAUAAAAAUACUAUAUUUUAUAACUUUGAAGUCAAUGAUCCAAAAAGAAUAAAAACAAAGUUGAAGUCUCGAUUAUGACUUUUCUAAUUAAUCACCCUUGACUCGGAAUAUGUCGGGACUCUCCAACCUAAUUACAUUUUUUUAAAAUACAAAUGUUUAUUACCAUAUCCAUGCAUAUGAAGCAUAUAUUUUAUCAUUAAUUAGCCAAGUAUUUUGACUCGGUUAGGUUUCAUAAAUUAAAUGAUAUUGAUUUAAAGUACGUAAGCACAACACCAAUAAUUGAACUGCAUUUCAACGUAACUCAAAGAGCCAUUAAUCAAUUAGCGCCACAUAGAAGUAGGGACUUUGUUAUAUAUUGUCAAGUUUAUGUUUAUUUAUUUCAUGGUUUAUUUUGAAUUUUUUUAUAUCAGAAAAAAAUUAAAUUAAAAAUAAUUAUAAAAAGUUUAAAAGUAAAAAAAGAAUAAACCUCAUCAAAAAUCAAGUAAUUUUUUAUUGAAUUUUUUCAUCAAAUUGAGCCUUUAUCGACAAUGAAAUAAUGCUGUGGCAUGUAGCAUGUAUAAUGAAUGUUGAUGUGCCUUGCUAGGUUAAAAUUAUAAAAUUAUUAUAGAAAUCAUUAUAUUCUUAUAAAAAUGAUUUAAAACGUAUGCAUGUAGCAUGCAUGCCAUGGAUCAGAACGAGGUAAACCAGGGCUAGCGGGAUGUAGUAGAGUGCAGAGGGAUGAUAAGGGUGUUGUAAAGGGUUUGUUCUCAGGCCUGCUUGGUGUGAUGAACUCCAACGAAGAUGAGUUACAACUUACAUGCUGGGAAAAAUGCUCUACGCCUCUUUAGCUCUUCGCAAUGGUUACAUAAGAUAUUGUUAGUAAUUCUUUCACAACUGAUAAGGUAUAUGUGGUAAUUCAUACUUUUGAUUCUAAUCAUAUUUUUUCAUAUGAGACUUUUGGUUAUUGUGAGAAGGCGGAUCAAAGGGCUAAAGUGUUAAAAUUUCCAAAAGUUAGAUCAGUUUUUGAAAUUGAGGAGCAAAGAAAAAAGGUAGAGGUAAAAAGAGUAAGAACAAUUUUCCAAAACCAAAAUCUUCAGGAGAAAAAUUGUUAAUGAAUAGCUAUCAUAUUCCGAUUUUCAAAAUCAAAAGAAGAUAUCAUGGAAAGAGGCGACGGAGGCAUGGAAAUUUGAAAUGAGGUCCAAUUUGGCCCCAUACUUCAAAGUUUAAAAUUUUUGUUUUAUUCUCCAAAAAUUUUGAUGACAUUCAGUUUAGCCCCUGACUUGAAACCAAAUUUUAAACCUUAGUUCUAAAAUCAAAUUAAAAUUUAACUUAGUUCUAGUGUCAUAAGACUAGACUUUCAGUCUCGUAAUUCGUGCAGCCUUAGGCGAUUCUAUCGUUUCAAAUGUGCCGAAGUCAGUCUAACUUUCACAAAGUGAGGAUUCUCGCAGAAUUCCUCCAAGGCACCAAUUUAUAUAGCGGAAGCAACUCAAGUCAAAAGAAUGUUCAAAAGAACAGAAUAACUACAAAAAACAAUGCAUGAGAGGUGUUUGAGCAGAUGCUAUCAGAAAAUUCUAUUACUCUAAGAAUUUAGGAUACAAUGGAUGAUUUACAACUGAGGGGGAGACUACCUAUUUACAGUUGAGUUCCCCCAAAUCCAAUGGUCUAGCUAAAUUUACAUCGACAGACGAGAUAAAGUCUAUCCCUACAAUUAAGGGAUUUAUAAGAUUACAUAAUCAAAUCUAAUCUAAUCUUAUUAAAUAUUAUACUACUCAAUCUUCUAAGAUUAGUUUCCUUAUUUACCAAGGUAGCCUAAUUUCUCAUAUUUGUAUCAUGGGUCGACUGAUCUCCAUCUAACCGAUAGACUUCAAUGGGAUGCAUUUUGUGCAAUGGUAACAGGUUUUGAACUGCAGCUCGUGACACUAGAAUUAGAUUAAUAGGUCAAUUUAACUUAAAACCACAUAAGCCCUUAUUUCAAUAAAAUAAAUGUCCAACAAAUUCCAUGCUGAAAAGCACAAACAAAGUUAGGUGUUUACAGUCACCCCUCUUUGCAUGUUGCUUGCUAGUAAGGAAAAUGCAAAGAUGAAGACUCAUAAUUAUUUUUUACUUAAAAAAAAAAACCAACCAAACAAAAUAAGGUCUUAAAAAGUGAAGGAAUCUAUUAGUAGGAUUUUUUGUGAAAAAGAAGAAUGGAUGGAGCUCAAAACUUUGAAAAAACUAAGGAUGGGAUUGGAUGGGCGGUGGUUUACUUGCAGUUAGUGUAAAAAUUGAACCUCACAACCAAGCCUCUAAAUAGGCAAGUAAAUUGGGUUUCUAAAUGUAAAUUGACUUCACUGAUCGAGAAUAGACCUCAAAACUAGGUCUCUAAUGAUAAUGGACCCCAAAACUAGGUUUCUUAAUAUGAUCUUGGUUUUGUUGUAAUGUUAUAACGAAUCUUUAUUUUGUUUUUUAUCAUAUUCAUAUCAGAUUCAGAUCGACAAAAAUUGAACAAUUAAAUAAAAUUAAACUCAAAUUUUCGCUGGUAAAUAUGUACUCUUUUUCUAAUUCAAUUGUCGAGUUGACUCAUGACCUCUCAGAAUCUCUGGUUUGUUCCGCCAUCCUCCCCGAAAAUCAUUAGGAUUCAUUUUCAAUAAAAUCCUCAGCAUUCAAAACAAAAUUCUUUUUUAUAUAAGAAAACAAUUAAGACACAUUUAAGAUUCUUUAUUAGUCUUAUAAUUUAUAAAGAUGGAUGAAAAUGAACUUUCCGAAGGAUUUCAUAUCUUGAUUAAGGCUACUAGAGUUUGAAAAUUCAAAUUAGCACGUCUUGUUUUCCUCAGAGACUGCAGCUAACACCUGCUAUAAUUGCAUAUUGAUGAAGAAAGCAUACAUCACAGACCGAUCGACAAAACAAUUUAUAACAACUACUGUAAUUUUGGGUAAUUUUUAUUUUCCUAUAGAAAAUAUUGUUCAAAGAUUAAAAUAGAGGACUUGUUGGUUUAUCCAAAAAGUGCUGCAAAUCCCAUCUUCCAUGACUGAUUGCUGAGAUUAUACCCUCCAUCGACAGGCACGUUAACACCACUGAUAAAUUUAGCCUCAUCGCUUGCCAAAUACAGUGCUGCAUGUGCAAAAUCUUCAGGUUCCAAUACGGUGCCUUUCAACACAGCUGAAGCCGCAAUCAUCUCCUCUCCCCUCUUCUUAUCGAACAACCCCAGUGUUGUUUGGAACAAUGGGGUCACAGUUGCGUGAGGUGAAAUGCAAUUAACUCUAAUUCCAUGCUCACCUAACUCCACGGCCAAGCUCUUCGUCAACCCUACGACGCCAUGCUUCGAUGCCUUGUAUGCAUGGGGCAGACCGAUGCUGAUUUUUGAAGAAAUACUCGACGAGAAGAGAAUGCAAC